ACUUCGGUGAUCGGACGAGAACCGGUACUUUCAGCAUAGUAUGGCCGUUGACAUUUACAAUAUACAGAAAUAAAUAACAUGUACGUAACCCAAAACUCUGAGUUCAAAAGUAUUCCUUUACUUGAUGCACAUCUGUGAUAUUUUUUUUUAUGAAUCAUAAAGGUUAUGAAGCAUUUCCCAUUGGGAAACAUAUUUUUUUUAUAGCUGGGUGGGAAACAAUAAAUUAGAAGGUUGGAUGGAAAUUAAAGCAGUUGGAUGAGAACGAGCUGGUGACAAGAAAAAGAGGAAAAAGCGCAGGAAGGAAUCUUUCGCUAUUUAUAUCUACAAGGUUUUGAAACAGGUUCAUCCCGACAUUGGUAUUUCCAGCAAAGCAAUGUCCAUCACGAAUUCCUUCGUUAACGACAUCUUUGAGAGAAUUGCAGCAGAAUUUUUUCGUUUAGCUCAUUACAAUAAGAGGAGUACUAUCACUAGGCAAGAAACUCAAACUGCAGUACGACUGUUGUUGCCUGAUGAACUGGCAAAACAUGCUGUUGGGGAAGGUACCAAAGCUAUCACCAAGUACACCAGCUCUAAAUAAAUUUUCAAAGCUUUCUUUAUAAAAAAAGGCCCUAAUGAUAAAGAUUAGCUGUUGCCUGCUUAUCCUUAAAUUCUAUGCCACAUAUCACUCAUUUCACAUAGGCAUUCUUAAAGGAAUUCACACUUACUCUUUGCAAAAGAAUUUAAUGAUAUACUUCAACUUUGCAAGUUGACAUCUCAGCUCAUCUUUAUCCUUGUUGCUCUGCAUCCAAUUUCUUUCUUUCAAAAUGUGGAUCUAAUCCUAUAUACGCACAAUAAUGAGAGGUGAAAUAAGUCUAUGCUUUGCCUUUCAUGAUUCCUUGGUAUCAAAAUUCAUUGGCUGACAUCAGCCUUAAUAGCUUUCAAUGCAGUUGUUUUUCCAUAAGUUUGCUAUUUAUCAAAUUCAGCAAAAUGUCUUCAUAUCAGUGUUGUUGCUUUCAGGUGUAUGCAUCACGAAUCGUUUGAACUUCUGGUUCUGUGCACUUAUCGAAUAUAAAACAUUUGAUUUUGUCAGUAGUAACAACAAAUUCGAUGAAAGUCCUUUCCUUUCACAAAGUGAAUUAAUGUUGCAUCUCAUAACCAUCAGAUUUCAGCUGUGUGAGAUGAUAUUCCAUUUGCAUUAAAUGACCUAAUUAAAGUGAAGAUGACUUCUUGUUUCUAAACACAAGGUAUUACCUCACUUUCAUGUAAAUUUUUCAAAUAUGCUUAAAUGGAAGUAGUUCUAAAUAUUGUACUACUAGUUCAAUGAUGAUAACAAGAUUCUAAUUAUCAGGUACAACAAUGAACAUAGCUGUCUUUCGGUAUGUCAGCAACUGCUUAUUUAUUUUUUCUACCUCAUCAGAAAGCGAUACUGACUACUCAAAUGAGAACUGAUACUGCAUUCAUGUUUAAAUCUGAUUAUGUCACUCAAUAUAAAUUGCAAUAAAUUCGGUAUCCAUCAAGGAAUACUCUCUAAAUUAAGAGUGCUAUGUCAGUAAGCAUUUCUAAUCCACAGCAAGAACACUCUUCCAACUUUCCAGCUCAGAACAUGUAUGUAAUAUGAUUAAUAAGUUUGAAAAAAAAAACUAUUUAGUUUUUCAUAUGAUAGACCAAGCAUUUGGAAUUACAGAAUAUUUUUCUUUUUAAAAAAUAUAUCAUAAACACUAAACAUUAAACACAAUAAAUACUCAUAGAAUUUCCAAUUUUAUAUUCAACAUAAAAGGGUAAAACGUAAUCAAAGCACAUGCAUGAUGAAAAUUUCAAAUACAUAGUAAAAUAUUCACAUGAAGAUCCACUAUGAUAAGUGGAAGCCUUCACCAAGCAUUUAGAAUUAUGGGAUAUCCUUCUUUUUUCCAAAACAAUUAUUAUAAAAAAUAAACAUUUAUACACCAGAAAGAAAAACUAAGAAGAAAAAUAUGGUUUUUGAAAAAUGCUUUUAUCCUACAAAUUUUCCUAUUACUUAUGGAAUAAACUUACCUUUCAAUAAAAACUACAUUCCUAUUUAUAUAUAUUACAGAUUUAGUUGAACAAUGCUAAGUUCUUGAACAUUCUUUACCCUAAACAUGCACCAUCUUGCUAUACAGGAUGCAAUUUGAUCUGACCACUUUAUAAGUUGAGUGAUCACUUCAGCACAACAGAACUCUUUUGAACAAUGAAUUCUAUUGCAUCUGCCUGCCCCACUCUGAAAUAGAUAUCGAGGGUUAAUUUGCAUUUCAAUAGCUAUUUACAUACAGUGUAAGUGGCAACAGUUGUAUUGCCUCACUGAAUGAUUCCAGUACUUUCCUGCAAUGUGUUUUGAUUCUGUGUGACAUUAUUUAGUGUAGAAAUAAAAUUUAUAAAACUUCUUUGUUUCCUUUUCCCAUUUAUGUAAUUAAGUAUUUUCAAUAAAAGAAAGCCAUACCUAAAUCAACUUACCUGGAUAGUUAUUUAUGUUUAGAGAAUUUAAAUAUAUAUGCAGAUCUGCUCCAGCAUAGCAUUUCUUCUACUUUUUUUUUUACAUUCUGAAAUUCAAGUCUUUUAAUAAACAGCUGUGUAGAGCUUACUUUUUCGUUAUAUAUAUAUAUAUAAAUAAAGUAGGGGUAUUGCUUGUCUGAAAAGUUCUGGUUUUAACAUUUCUUAAAUACGUUAUUGCAUUUACAGGAUUAUCUAAAAUAUAUGAAUUAUUAAUUUCAUUUUUUUGUCUUUAUGAAAAAUUUGAUCUAAAUUACUUACUUUAUGUCUUUACUGAUAAUUUUUCAGCAGCUUCAUGCGUGAAAAUAGCACUAGGCAUGUGUGAUAUGAAAUUAAGAACUACUGAGUUCAGGCAAUCAACAAAAUUAAGAUAUUUAAUAUAAAUGAAUUGUGCCAAACUACCUCACUGCAAGGCAGAAACUGAAAGCAAUUAAAGAGGAUGGAAAAAACAACAACAACAACAAAAAAAAAAAAAAAAAAAAAGGUUGCAUUAUGUUUUCUUUUAUAUUGAAUACUAUGCUCAAUAACUGUUAAAAAUGUCAUGACAUGAACUACGUUUUCCAUAUGUAACAGCACUUACAGCUUUAGUGAUUUGGUUGUAACUGACUGGUGUUUGAUUUGGCCGAAUAAAUCACAGUUCUUAAUUUC